GGGUCGGUGCCCGAGUGGUUAAUGGGGGUGGACUGUAAAUCCACUGGCUACGCCUACGUUGGUUCGAAUCCAACCCGGCCCA
rnacentral:tRNA from 1 species